rnacentral:misc_RNA from 1 species
AACGUACGCAGAGUGCGCGUGAAUACGACACCAACGUGCUGAAGCCGUUCCAGGAUGUGCUGAAUGACCCUGCGCCGAAGAAACUGAUCAUCGUUCAUCUGCUGGGUAC